rnacentral:rRNA from 1 species
UACAGAGGUCUCAAGCGUUGUUCGGAUUCAUUGGGCGUAAAGGGUGCGUAGGCGGCGCGGUAAGUCGGGUGUGAAAUCUCGGGGCUUAACUCCGAAACUGCAUUCGAUACUGCCGUGCUUGAGGACUGGAGAGGAGACUGGAAUUUACGGUGUAGCGGUGAAAUGCGUAGAUAUCGUAAGGAAGACCAGUGGCGAAGGCGGGUCUCUGGACAGUUCCUGACGCUGAGGCGCGAAAGCUAGGGGAGCAAACAGG